AUUAACAGAUAUUCAGCAGCUCCAACUCCUGUUUUCUAGGUUUGUUCUAGAAGUAUAAAUAAAUAUUGAGAUGUCUUGAACUCCAAGAGGACAUCCGUAACCUAACUGCCACAACUGCAGGGAAAAUAGAAAGGCAUUCAAAGGACAAGGUACAGUUCCCGCCAGUCCAAAGUUAGUUUUCCCUGGGAGAGUGGUGUGGUGUGGCAGAAAGCACAAUGGCAAGUUUAAUCGUUUUCUACGUUGUAAGACAGUGUAGGCCCAUAACUGUGUAUUAGUCACUUUCUGUUCACCAAUGAAACUGCAGCAGUGGAACCUAAACUGGACAAACAUUUUAAUGACUGAUAUAUUUGGGUUAUACAAUUGCCUUGACAGCCCAGUUAAAAACGGGUGUCUUUUUGGUCUACCACCUUAUAGCCUUUGUAUUCAGAAUGAUGAUUGAACGAUACGGCGAAGCAAUAUUUGAAUGGUUAUUGACUAUUUAAGUCAUCUGAACUAGGACGAGUACAGUGGUAUUACCCUAAUUCAUGUAGCUAAAAUGUUUUUGUUAUGGCAGUAGGUGCUUGUGACACAGGUGCCAAGGUUCAAUCAGAUCAAGCAUUGACACCCGCGUAGCUGAUGUUUUGACGGUGUAGGAGGUAUAACUGCGUCGUCGAGCAGCUGCACUUGAUCAUUGUCACGAAGCCACACCCGUGCCACUCACGUUAGAAGUUUAGAAUGAGAAAGUGCUAUAUGGAAAUAAUGUCGCUCAAAUUGAAAAUCAUGAAACAAAAUAAUGAGGAUUUCUAUGAGCCUAAUCGAGGUGUAGAUUACAUCUCACAUUCCAGCAUUCAAACUUAUAAACAAGGCUGCAUUGGAGUUCUCUUAAUGUGACUCUGUGCAGCCAAUGGCAACGUCCUCUUUAGGUAUAGCGCCAGGAGCUGCUUGUGGAUUUUACAGCUCUAACACAGUUCCACCUCAGACCGUCAAAACGUCAGCUAUGCGGAUGUCGGCUAAAGUGGAUUUGAUUGAAUCGGGCCCUUAGUUACACUAUAGCAUAAUGAGUAGGAUCAGUUGUGUUGAACUUUGAACUUUAGGCUAUUUCCAAAGCAUUCCAAUAACAUUGACAUGUCCAUGUUUUUGAACAAUGCAGCAAUAUCUUGCAAUACAAUAAUAACAAUACAAUAAUAACAAUAUAUAUAUAAAUAACAGAGGGAAAUUAAGACAUCAGAAACAGCAAUGUCAGAGUCCAGCAGUCAUGGGUGAACAGGGAGUACAGGAGGGGGCUGAGCACACACCCCUGUGGGGCCCCAGUGUUGAGGAUCAGCGUGGCGGAGAGUUUGUUUUUUACCUUCACCUUCUUUAUACUAGUAUGCUACCUCACAGUUGAUCUUAGUCGUGCCGUUCCUUUAAUACAGAGGCUUAGUCUGAACAGUCUUUGCUUUCCCAUGGCCUCCUGUUCACUUGCCUGGUCCUGACUUUGAAACCUGAAGACUGAAAACGGCAAAAGAACAAAGUGAUUUAAAAGGGGACCAGUUAUUGUUUUAUUUUAUUAUUGAUUAUUACUGGACUUUUAUAUGUAUAUCUUUUUUGUUUGCUUGUCAGCCUUUUUUGGGACAGGCUGUUUUAUCUUUUCAUGUUCUUGUUGGGGGGGGAUCAGUAAGUUAUCAAGUUUUCAUCAAGACUAUAUUCAUCAAUUUUUCAACUAAGGAAGUACACUGCUUUAAUCCAUGAUUUGAAAGUAAAAAAGAAGAUAUUCUUGAAAAGGUUGUGCCAUUGGCAUUCCAGUGUUCCUUGGACACAGGCAACAGGAUGAGUUUCACUGGAUCCAAAUGUAUGAAGGUUUUCACAGGUGAUGCUAAUGUCUUUCCAGCAGCAGUGUCGCUAAAUCUGCAUGGUGUUAUUGUCCCUUCUCUAUGUUGGACUGAACUGUUUCAACUCUUCUCAAGUGAAAACCUCAAAGCCCUAAUGUGGUGGAGAAAGACGCCAUCUACAGUAUGUCAGGAGCAGAGGCGUGUCCACUAGAGAAGGAGUCUUCUCAGUCAAGAUAAGAUUUCCUGCUUGCCAUACUAGAGGGAGAUACUGGUUGUCUUUAAACUCCACACCAUGGGAUGAUUGACCUGGAUCUUUACCAGAACAGACUUCACCAGACACAGUAGAAGUGAGGUCACAGGAAACAGACUGAUUUGUGAAGAGGGACUGCAUCACCCAUAAAGCAUUGUGUCCCUGGAGGCCACAGCUUUGUUGGAUGUAAUGCCAUGUUCUCGACCUCUCGGAGUGUUCGGAAAUAUGACUUGUAAACUCAGUGCAUCGAGUUGCAUGCAUUCACGUACUUUGAACUUGUUGCUAAUGCCAACGGCUAAGUACCGAGGUCAACCAUAAACGAACAGUACAGCUAUCAUGCUGGCAUGAAACGGCAGUAGAAAAUAGCUUUUCUAGAUCAGUCCAAACGUUCCUCCUGACUGUUAUAAUCAACCUGUUUGAAUGCAAAAAUUAUAUGGGACUACGUUUUUCCUAUUGCAACGCUUGAAUCACGUUAAUAUUUUUGGUUAUAACCUGCACAACUUUUGAACUCUUGGUUAUGUUUGCUUUAAAAAAAUGGUCUUAAUACUGUUACGUUAGUUUACAUUAAACUGCUAGUUUUUGUUGUUUCCA